AAUUCGACUAAGAUUAUUAAAAAAUAAUAAUAAAAAACUUUUUGUAUCUUAAAAAAAAUAUUAAUUAAUGCUGAAGCUAAAUUAAUAAGCAAUGCUGGAAACUAAACGUUACACCGCGCUCUGUAUGCACAUGUAAACUGAACAUCUGCCAGAUUUCAUGCAUUCUUCUUCUUAAUUAUUUUUUCCCUUUUUUUUUUAAUUCUUGUUAGCA
rnacentral:misc_RNA from 1 species